GGUGGGCUGAGUGCUCCUUUUAGUGUGGGAAGGGGCAUCAGACAAGGAUGCUCCCUCUCAGGGAUGCUGUACGCUCUGUCAAUAGAGCCUCUUUUAUGUAAGAUCCGCUCGAGCAUCAAAGGCUUGUUUUUACCUAACUGCACUGCAAAUCCCACUUCAUCAGCCUAUGCUGAUGAUAUUGUUGUCCUUGUGAGGACAGGAGAAGAAAGUGAGACAAUUGGCGAAAUUAUGACACUUUUUUGUGAAUUAUCAUCGGCCAAAGUAAACUGGGCAAAGAGUGAGGCUUUAGCUGUUGGAAGAUGGAAGAGGGGUCUUCCCAGCCUCCCCAGGGGUCUCACUUGGAAAAAAGGUGGCCUCCGAUAUCUGGGGGUGUUUCUGGGUGAUGAUGAGCAUACCAAAAGAAACUGGGAAGGUGUGGUGGAAAAGGUUGAAGGGAGGCUGCAGAAGUGGAGGUGGUUGCUCCCACAAAUGUCAUACAGAGGGAGAACCAAUAUUAUUAACAACCUUGUGGCCAGCGAACUGUGGCAUCGCUUGGCCUGCAUGGAGCCCCCUGCAGGCUUUCUGAACAGACUUCAGGCCAUACUGAUAAAGUUCUUUUGGGACCGACUUCACUGGGUGCCGCAAUCUGUCCUCUUUCUCCCCAAAAAUCAAGGAGGCCAAGGCGUAGUCCAACUAAAAAGCAGAGUCUCUGCCUUCAGGCUACAGUUUGCUCAGCGGCUACUGAUUGGACCAGAUGACGUGGUCUGGAAACCUGUGGCCUCUGCCAUUUUAAAGACACUUGAUGGACUAAAGCUUGACACUGCACUGUUUUUACUGGACUCCAAUGUUCUUAAUGUGUCAGUUUUACCUGUGUUUUAUCAAAGUGUUCUUAGAUCCUGGAGGCUUUUUAAGUGGCAGAGACUGGAGCCCUCAGUCUCACUACACUGGCUUCUGGCAGAACCUUUAAUACACGGUUCCAGAUUGAACGUCCAAGAUGGUUCGACUCCAGGCCUGACUCACACACUAAUAUCAGCAGGAGUGACCACUCUGAAACAUCUGGUGGACUUAACGG
rnacentral:lncRNA from 1 species